rnacentral:misc_RNA from 1 species
GAGUUCAUGCCCUUCGGGGUAGAUCUCCCACCCUUUGUAUACUAUACCUCUGUUGCUUUGGCGGGCCGCCUAGCUACUGGCUUCGGCUGGUAAAUGCCCGCCAGAGGACCCAAAACCCUGAAUAUUAGUGUCGUCUGAGCAAAAAUUCAAAAUGAAUCAAAACUUUCAACAACGGAUCUCUUGGUUCU